GAAGAGCCGGGGCAGGCGUGGCCGGAGCCGCGGCCCGCGGGCUGGGAGGGCUCGGCCGCCCGCUGCGGGUCGGGCGUCUCUGACCAUGUCGCCUGAAGAAUGGACAUAUCUAGUGGUUCUUCUUAUCUCCAUCCCCAGCGGCUUUCUCUUUAAGAAGGCCGGACCUGGGCUGAAGAGAUGGGAGGCAGCAGCUGUGUGCCUGGGGCUCACCUUGUUCACCUGUGGCCCCCACACUUUGCAUUCCCUGGUCACGAUCCUGGGGACCCGGGCCCUUAUUCAGGCCCAGUCCUGGUGAGGAUUUGGUAGAGGGAGGAGAGGGCAAG